rnacentral:misc_RNA from 1 species
AUCUGGACAUCCCAUGUUUUCAAUGAGUGCUUGUCCACUCGUUUAGCUCAUAAAAAUAUUCAACAAUUUUCAUCAUCAAAACUUAUGCAGUCAAUAUUAGUUACUGAAAGCUUUCUGCUAGAUUUAUUUUCUUCAUUGAAAGCAUGGGGUAUUUGCGUGGUGGUUCCUUUCCCUUGUUAUAUCAAAUUACUACUAGUAUGAUAUCUUCCAGGUAUUGCCAAUGGAAAUGGAA